AGCCAUGCGAGUCGAACGUCCCCCUGNUUGCGGGGGGCGUGGCGUACGGCUCAGUAACACGUAGUCAACCUGCCCUGGAGACAAGGACAACCCCGGGAAACUGGGAUUAAUCCUUGAUAGGUCAUCUCAUCUGGAAGGAGAGAUGGCUUAAAGGGGUACGCGGGCUUCUUCUGCGUAUUCGCUCCAGGAUGGGACUGCGUCCGAUCAGGCUGUUGGCGGGGUAAUGGCCCACCAAACCUGUAACCGGUACGGGCCUUGAGAGAGGUGGCCCGGAGAUGGACACUGAGAGAAGGGUCCAGGUCCUACGGGGCGCAGCAGGCGCGAAACCUUCGCAAUGCGCGAAAGCGUGACGAGGUUAAUCCGAGUGACUCCCGCUGAGGGGGUCUUUUGUCAGCUGUAAAUAGGCAGGCGAAUAAGGGGAGGGCAAGCCUGGUGUCAGCCGCCGCGGUAA
rnacentral:rRNA from 1 species